GGAUUAGAUACCCUGGUAGUCCACGCCUUAAACGAUGCGAACUGGAUGUUGGUCUCAACUCGGAGAUCAGUGUCGAAGCUAACGCGUUAAGUUCGCCGCCUGGGGAGUACGGUCGCAAGACUGAAACUCAAAGGAAUUGACGGGGGCCCGCACAAGCGGUGGAGUAUGUGGUUUAAUUCGAUGCAACGCGAAGAACCUUACCUGGCCUUGACAUGUCCGGAAUCCAGCAGAGAUGCAGGAGUGCCUUCGGGAAUCGGAACACAGGUGCUGCAUGGCUGUCGUCAGCUCGUGCCG
rnacentral:rRNA from 1 species